rnacentral:rRNA from 1 species
AUUGAACGCUGGCGGCAUGCCUUACACAUGCAAGUCGAACGGCAGCACGGGAGCAAUCCUGGUGGCGAGUGGCGAACGGGUGAGUAAUAUAUCGGAACGUGCCCAGUCGUGGGGGAUAACGUAGCGAAAGCUACGCUAAUACCGCAUACGAACUAUGGAUGAAAGCGGGGGAUCGCAAGACCUCGCGCGAUUGGAGCGGCUGAUAUCAGAUUAGGUAGUGGGUGGGGUAAAGGCUCACCAAGCCGACGAUCUGUAGCUGGUCUGAGAGGACGACCAGCCACACUGGGACUGAGACACGGCCCAGACUCCUACGGGAGGCAGCAGUGGGGAAUUUUGGACAAUGGGCGCAAGCCUGAUCCAGCAAUGCCGCGUGCAGGAUGAAGGCCUUCGGGUUGUAAACUGCUUUUGUACGGAGCGAAAAGGCUUCCACUAAUACUGGGGGCUCAUGACGGUACCGUAAGAAUAAGCACCGGCUAACUACGUGCCAGCAGCCGCCGUAAUAC